rnacentral:rRNA from 1 species
UGGGGAAUAUUGCACAAUGGGGGAAACCCUGAUGCAGCGACGCCGCGGGAAGGAAGAAGUAUCUCGGUAUGUAAACUUCUAUCAGCAGGGAAGAUAGUGACGGUACCUGACUAAGAAGCCCCGGCUAACUACGUGCCAGCAGCCGCGGUAAUACGUAGGGGGCAAGCGUUAUCCGGAUUUACUGGGGGGAAAGGGAGCGUAGAGGGUGUGGCAAGGCUGUUGUGAAAUGCAUGGGGUCAACCUGUGGACUGCAUUGGAAACUGUCAUACUUGAGUGCCGGAGGGGUAAGCGGAAUUCCUAGUGUAGCGGUGAAAUGCGUAGAUAUUAGGGGGAACACCAGUGGCGAAGGCGGCUUACUGGACGGUAACUGACGUUGAGGCUCGAAAGCGUGGGGGGCAAACAGG